rnacentral:rRNA from 1 species
AAUCUGGAGACAGGUGCUGCAUGGCUGUCGUCAGCUCGUGUCGUGAGAUGUUGGGUUAAGUCCCGCAACGAGCGCAACCCUUGCCUUUAGUUGCCAGCAGUUCGGCUGGGCACUCUAAAGGGACUGCCGGUGUUAAACCGGAGGAAGGUGGGGAUGACGUCAAGUCCUCAUGGCCUUUAUGACCAGGGCUACACACGUACUACAAUGGCCGAUACAAAGGGCAGCGACACUGCGAGGUGAAGCCAAUCCCGUAAAAUCGGUCUCAGUCCGGACUGGAGUCUGCAACUCGACUCCAUGAAGUUGGAAUCGCUAGUAAUCGUGGAUCAGCAUGCCACGGUGAAUACGUUCCCGGGCCUU